CUACUACUACUUCUACCACUACUACUACUACUACCACUACUACUACUACUACCACUACUACCACUACUACCACUACUACUACUACCACUACUACCACUACUACCACUACUACUACUACUACUACUACUACUACUACUACUACUACUACUACUACCACUACUACUACUACUACUACUACUACUACUACUACUACUACUACUACUACUACUACUACUACUACUACUACUACUACUACUACUACUACUACUUCUACUACUAUUAUUAUUAUUAUUAUUAUCAUUAUUAAUUAUUAAUUAUUAAUUAUUAAUUAUUAUUAUUACUAUUAUAAAAAAUCAUCAUCGCCGCUUGUGUUCUUUCCGCAGUACCUGAGCAACGUGUAUAGUAUGUCCGUCACGUUGUUCUGGGACGAGUGGAAAAUGUAAUUUCUCGUCGGCUGUUUUACACAAUUUGUUAGCUCCUCUCGUUGCUACGUGUUUCCGUAUGAGACAUCUUUUUAAAUGGUGCUCUUUUUUCUUUUUUGCCUUUUUUCUUUUUUCUUUUCCUAUUUUUUUUUUCUUUUCCUUUCAUAUUCUGUUUCUCUUUGGUUUUUGAGAUUCCAAAAGUUAAAGGAAAUUUAAUACGUAUGUGACAUAAAUCAUUGAUUUAUUAGCUAUGAAAAAGCUAGAUGUAUAGAAAUAAUUAUCAAAAGAGGAAUGCCACUUUUUUAAUUGAUGUGCUCUGUGCCUUCUUCCCUGUUCCGGCUCCUCGUCGGAUCUUUUCUUUACGAUGGAGUGAAUAUAAGAAUAAAAACAACGUGAGUUAUGAGAGUGAGCGAGUGUGUGAUUGAAUGAGAGACAGAAUGAGAGAAUGAGUGAAUGAAUGAGAGAGAGAGAGAGAGAAACAGAGAGAUAGACAGAGAAGCAAAAAGUGGAUGAAUUUGUUACAGCAUAUUUUAUUAUUGUUUAGUUAUUUACAAUCUGUAUAUUAUUAAUUAAUAUUAUGAUUAAAGUAUUUUGUAGAUAACACGCGAGUCUAUGUAGACGUUUUCCACCAUCGCCGAACGAUGAACUUGAUCUCAUCGUCGGAUAGAUUUGAUCUUUCAAAGAUAUAUUUGAUCUCUUCUGUCCAACGAUUUGUUCUUUCUUAGAUGUCUCGACUGAUAAUUUUAUUCAAUCGUAGUAGUAAUUUAUAAUAAUGAAAGGUAAGAGAUGGCAUACAAAAUAGAUCGAAGUUGCCAUUUUUUCCCUAUUUCUUUUUUUUUUUUUUAUUCUUCGUUAAAAUAAAUGUACCUCAUCUCAAAAAUUUUUAGACCAUUAGAAACAUACACAAGUUUCUAAGUGAUGAUUUUGAUUAAACAUUUUUAUUGUUAGUGUUACAUCGUACAUUUUACGAUCUAUACACCGAUAGCGAAUACUUUGUUUUACCUGAAAUUUUUUCCUGUAUUUUCUUUUUUUCCGUUAGUUUAUAUAUAUAUAUAUAUAUAUUAUAUGUAUAUAUAAUCGAUUUAUAUAGUACAAAAAAUUAUUUCGAUAUACAUUCUUCUAUAUGUCGAAUCUACACAAUUUUAUGUUGCUUGUAAUCAAAGUUGAGAUAAAACAUUUUACAACUUAAUUCAUCUUUUUUUUUAUGCACAAAUGAAUUUAAAAAACUUACGUUAUUUAUUAUUAAAUGAAGAAUUUCUUUAUAUUAUUCUCGUGAAAUAGUGCAUGAAAAUACUUUCAUAUUUGCUUAUUUUGAACUCUCAGAUUUUUUAAAUUCUAUUUUUAAUUUCGUAAUGAAUAUUCAAUUUUUUACUAGAACACGAUCGAUAGUGGCUCAUGCUAAUUCAUAGUAUGUCGAUGAAACGAGGUGAUGUCUCGAAUUAAUGAAAGAUCUUUUUGCACGUUUUAAACAUGUCGAUGACCUUUUUAAUUACUCCUCAAAAUUGAGAAUAUAAUCAUCUUGCAUUUUCUUUCGUGAAUAAUCGCGAUAUGAACGAGAGAAAUAUUUUGAUAUUUCUAUUCUAAUAGAAAUAGAAACAGAUCGUACAUUUGUCUUUAUCUACAUUUUAAAGUUUCAUGAAAUAUUGUUUGAAAUGUGAUAUUAAAUUUUAUAAUAAGCUUGCAAAUCGAAAAACUUUCUUUCUUUUUUUUUUCUCUGUGAAUGAUUAUUAAUACUAAUAUUUUAGAAAAUGAGAUAUGAUUUUUUAUUUUCUAAGAUAUUGUAGUAAGAAUCAUAAAAAUUUAGAAAUAAAAAAAAAUUGAUAGAAAUUUAAAACAAAUUAAAAAAAAAAAAGAACAAUUUUUUUUAAGUUGGGAAAAUUUAUUCGAAAUUUUCAUAUCUUUCUUUUUCGAUCUUUCUGAAGGGAUGAAUAAUGCCGCGGUGUUUCUCAGAGAUCAAACGUUUUGACGUUUAUUUGUCGUUUAUUUUUUUCGCUUAUAAUAAUUUUUCGUAUUUCUUUUAAGUAAUUCACGCAGGGGAUAGCGUAAAUACGAAAUCAAGAAACUUCGAAAUUCGAUAGAUGAUACACAUUGUGUGUCCUCUUUAAUAAACUUACUUGAAUAGAUUUUUACGUAUGAAUACAUGUAAAUCAGUACGUGAAUAGUUUUAUGGAAAACUCGGAUAAUCCGUUUCAAGUACACGAUUAACAUACUUUUGAUUACGCUUUCGCUAAGUCUAAAGUUGUUUCAACGGGCGGUUGAAAACGGAGUUUUAUUUAUUUCUUUUUUUUUUUUUUUUUAAAUCUCAAACUCUGUAUACUCAGUCCUUCGUUUCUAUUCGAUUAUACUUUAUGGCUAGUUCAUGGACUAAAUCGUUUUCUUUUGUCUUGUUCGUUUUCUUUUUUCUUUUUUUUUUUUCCUUUCUUUUUUUCCUUUUUUUUUUUAAUCCUUAAGAGAUAUGUAACGCGUUCUUCGUUCUCUUUCGUCGUGUGCGACUUUAUAUUAAUAAAUUUACAUAAGGGCGGAACAAGAACUGUUUCAUCUUUGUCAUUUCUCACGUGCAAUUGAAUAUCUAAAAAUCGAAUGAUCUUGAAUAAUUCGAAGACGAAUAAAGUCACAAUUACACAAUUACAAAUAUGCUUUCGAUUGAUUAUUACCAAAAUAUAAAUAGAGUAUUUUCAUCGUUAUCAUCCUAUAUUGGCGAUAAAAGAGUAUACGUAUAAUAUUUUUUUUUUUAUAUCGAAAUUUAACUAAAAGGAAAAAAGAAAACAACAAUGUAUCAAUGUAUGUAUGUAACAUCGAACAUCUUCUAUCAAUCUCUAUUUGUGCAUGUUUUUCGAUUAAAAAUUUAUUUCAAUGUAGUUGAAUUGCAAUUGAAACGAAGGAAGAUGACAUUAUGAAUGUUUUGAGAGGAAUAGGGAAUAGGGAAAAUGUGGGAAAAUUUCGUACGCGUAUUCUUAAUCCUCAACUGAGUUAUACAUAUCUAAAAUAAUUCGUAGGAUAUUUAAUUCUAUAAAUAUAUUUUCUAUAAAUAUAUUGAUAAAUGUCGUCACGGGAAACAACUUUAUCGUAUAAAACACACGAUAUCAAUCAAGUGUACUGAGUACCUUUUAAAAUUAACAUAACUUAUAUUUUUGUAGAUCAUCUACGAUCCUAUUGAUCGAGGAUUAAGCAUUUUGUAACGAUGAUAACAUAUAUAUCUGAGAUUCGAAAGAAAAAUCUCGUUUGCGGCAUUCGUAAUUGUCUUUCGCUUUCUCUACUGUAUAUUGCAUCGUUGACCUUUUUCUCAACUUUGUGAGAGUACGUAAGUAUUGCACAUACAUAUGCCUUCGACGAUGAAAAACGCUCGUCUAAGAUUGCUCGUUUUUGAAUGUUUUUUUUUUUUAUACUUACGAAAUAAGUUUGCGAUAUUACACGUUUCAUUAACAUUUCUCUUUUCUAAAAGAAAUAAAAAAGAGAUCAUGGAUCGAUUAUAUGGGUACAAAUAAAAUUGGACUUUACAAUUGUGUUUUUCUCUGUUUCAUUCUGUGGCAACCGGCACAGUUCAAAAGGAAGAAUGAUCUUCCUCUUCGAUACAACAACAGCUCACCGAAACGUGCCACGAUCUCCAAAAGAAUUUUUUGAUUUUUGAACUUUUAUCAAUUUUCUCUUCCUUCCUUCCAUCGAUUUUUCAUUCUAUUUUUGUAUCGAUGCGCGGAUCGAAACGGGACGAAAUCCAUUCAAGCAUGAAAGGGAGGAGAUUUCUUUUUUUCAGCAGGAUUUCGGUGAAUCGAUUGUACAUAUCGGCAAGAAUAUUCAAUCAACUUCAAAAAAAUCACACGCAUCGACGUCGUUCCAUCAGGAUUGGAAGAGGUCGAAUCAGAGAGAAAGAGAGAGACAUCAUCGACUGUGGAGAACAAAGAACCAUUUUUCUUGUAUGCGUGGCGACGGAAGAACGCGUGCAGUUUCAAGACUCGCGAAUCCGAAUUUCCGCUGCUGAUCCGCUUCGCUUAUUUACAACACAGAGAAGAGAUCUGCCUACCGUUUACAAUGCUAUCAUAUAAAGGCGAUACACUCGGGGAACACAUGCAUGCAUGGCCGCAAGAUUUAACCAGAGCGGAAGGGGAGGGGGGAAGGGGUUAUCGGCUACACAGACAACAAGACGAACCGAUCGCGUCUCGUCUCGAUCGGUAUUAUCACGAUCCGACGAUGGCGAGCAAUGGUUGCUUAAUUUUAAACAGGUGUCGAUAGUCUAAUUGUCGAUUUGUCGAAAAUCAGUGAAAAGAUUUUCUCAUCCUCCGAGUCGUUAGAGAAUCUCUUUCUCGUUAUUUUUCAUUUUUUUUUUAUUUUACUUAUUAUAAUUAAGAAAAUAAUUAUCAACAUUGGUAUAUUGGAAACCGUUAAUGUUUUCCGUAUAGAUACGAUCAGGAUUAAUGAUUUAUCGAAGGAUGUUUUACGAUUCACAGAUCGAUAAUCUAUUGGAAAGUUACUGAAUUGCAUAACGUUUACGAAAUUGUAAUGAUGUCGCAUCACUCGUCCCCAUCGGAUCUAAUAUCGGAGGGCGAAUAAGGGUACUUGUUGCUUGUUGCUACUUUGUUCGGCUAUGUAUCGAUUUGUUCAAGAAUGUUCGUAAGAGUGUUUUUAACAAUUUAUGCUAAAAAAGUUGUGCCGUGUAUUUGACUAAGAAGAGAAUAAAAUUUGUCCACGAGCUCGUGGAGCGAUUGAAUUUAGGCGAAUAAUUAAACUUUUAUUAAAAAGUAAAUAUCCUAGAAUUGUCAAUUGUCUGGAAUUAGAAGAAGAAAAAAAGAAGAAUUGUACCACGAACUUCUUGAACAGCUCAAUAUUAUAUACACGUAUACCCUCGUUCAUAAGUAUUAAGACACCAAGUCUUACUCUCGUACAGAUCUUAGAAUUUCACAUUCAUGCAAGACAAUGAUCUUAAAUAGAUACAAGUUAGUAAAAAUUAUUUACAAGACAGCUCGUAAAAAAGGCGAAACUAUAUGUAUAUGUAUAUAGAUAAGAAGAAAUUUCAGAAC